rnacentral:rRNA from 1 species
UACAGAGGGUGCAAACGUUGUUCGGAAUUACUGGGCGUAAAGGGCGCGUAGGCGGCCUUCUAAGUCGAACGUGAAAUCCCCGGGCUCAACCCGGGAACUGCGUCCGAUACUGGAAGGCUUGAAUCCGGGAGAGGGAUGUGGAAUUCCAGGUGUAGCGGUGAAAUGCGUAGAUAUCUGGAGGAACACCGGUGGCGAAGGCGACAUCCUGGACCGGUAUUGACGCUGAGGCGCGAAAGCCAGGGGAGCAAACGGG